AGCUCCAAUAGCGUAUAUUAAAGUUGCUGCAGUUAAAAAGCUCGUAGUUGCAUUUCCGAGGCAAGGGAUUAGUCCGACCUUUGGUGGGUAUUUAAUCCUCUUGCCUCGUCCUUGAGUGGUGCUUCUUGGUAUUAAGUUAUCGAGGAGAUAGCCGCUCAUCGUUUACUGUGAGAAAAUUAGAGUGUUCAAAGCAGGCUUAUGCCGUUGAAUAUAUUAGCAUGGAAUAAUAAGAUAGGACCGCGGUACUAUUUUGUUGGUUUGAGAACCAAGGUAAUGAUGAAUAGGGACAGUUGGGGGUAUUCGUAUUCAGUUGUCAGAGGUGAAAUUCUUAGAUUUACGGAAGACGAACUACUGCGAAAGCAGUUACCAAGGAUGUUUUCA
rnacentral:rRNA from 1 species